rnacentral:rRNA from 1 species
UGUGAGCUCGAUGAGUAGGGCGGGACACGUGGUAUCCUGUCUGAAUAUGGGGGGACCAUCCUCCAAGGCUAAAUACUCCUGACUGACCGAUAGUGAACCAGUACCGUGAGGGAAAGGCGAAAAGAACCCCGGCGAGGGGAGUGAAAAAGAACCUGAAACCGUGUACGUACAAGCAGUGGGAGCACAGAGCAAUCUGUGUGACUGCGUACCUUUUGUAUAAUGGGUCAGCGACUUAUAUUCUGUAGCAAGGUUAACCGAAUAGGGGAGCCGAAGGGAAACCGAGUCUUAACUGGGCGUUAAGUUGCAGGGUAUAGACCCGAAACCCGGUGAUCUAGCCAUGGGCAGGUUGAAGGUUGGGUAACACUAACUGGAGGACCGAACCGACUAAUGUUGAAAAAUUAGCGGAUGACUUGUGGCUGGGGGUGAAAGGCCAAUCAAACCGGGAGAUAGCUGGUUCUCCCCGAAAGCUAUUUAGGUAGCGCCUCGUGAAUUCAUCUCCGGGGGUAGAGCACUGUUUCGGCAAGGGGGUCAUCCCGACUUACCAACCCGAUGCAAACUGCGAAUACCGGAGAAUGUUAUCACGGGAGACACACGGCGGGUGCUAACGUCCGUCGUGAAGAGGGAAACAACCCAGACCGCCAGCUAAGGUCCCAAAGUCAUGGUUAAGUGGGAAACGAUGUGGGAAGGCCCAGACAGCCAGGAUGUUGGCUUAGAAGCAGCCAUCAUUUAAAGAAAGCGUAAUAGCUCACUGGUCGAGUCGGCCUGCGCGGAAGAUGUAACGGGGCUAAACCAUGCACCGAAGCUGCGGCAGCGACGCUUAUGCGUUGUUGGGUAGGGGAGCGUUCUGUAAGCCUGCGAAGGUGUGCUGUGAGGCAUGCUGGAGGUAUCAGAAGUGCGAAUGCUGACAUAAGUAACGAUAAAGCGGGUGAAAAGCCCGCUCGCCGGAAGACCAAGGGUUCCUGUCCAACGUUAAUCGGGGCAGGGUGAGUCGACCCCUAAGGCGAGGCCGAAAGGCGUAGUCGAUGGGAAACAGGUUAAUAUUCCUGUACUUGGUGUUACUGCGAAGGGGGGACGGAGAAGGCUAUGUUGGCCGGGCGACGGUUGUCCCGGUUUAAGCGUGUAGGCUGGUUUUCCAGGCAAAUCCGGAAAAUCAAGGCUGAGGCGUGAUGACGAGGCACUACGGUGCUGAAGCAACAAAUGCCCUGCUUCCAGGAAAAGCCUCUAAGCAUCAGGUAACAUCAAAUCGUACCCCAAACCGACACAGGUGGUCAGGUAGAGAAUACCAAGGCGCUUGAGAGAACUCGGGUGAAGGAACUAGGCAAAAUGGUGCCGUAACUUCGGGAGAAGGCACGCUGAUAUGUAGGUGAAGUCCCUCGCGGAUGGAGCUGAAAUCAGUCGAAGAUACCAGCUGGCUGCAACUGUUUAUUAAAAACACAGCACUGUGCAAACACGAAAGUGGACGUAUACGGUGUGACGCCUGCCCGGUGCCGGAAGGUUAAUUGAUGGGGUUAGCGCAAGCGAAGCUCUUGAUCGAAGCCCCGGUAAACGGCGGCCGUAACUAUAACGGUCCUAAGGUAGCGAAAUUCCUUGUCGGGUAAGUUCCGACCUGCACGAAUGGCGUAAUGAUGGCCAGGCUGUCUCCACCCGAGACUCAGUGAAAUUGAACUCGCUGUGAAGAUGCAGUGUACCCGCGGCAAGACGGAAAGACCCCGUGAACCUUUACUAUAGCUUGACACUGAACAUUGAGCCUUGAUGUGUAGGAUAGGUGGGAGGCUUUGAAGUGUGGACGCCAGUCUGCAUGGAGCCGACCUUGAAAUACCACCCUUUAAUGUUUGAUGUUCUAACGUUGACCCGUAAUCCGGGUUGCGGACAGUGUCUGGUGGGUAGUUUGACUGGGGCGGUCUCCUCCUAAAGAGUAACGGAGGAGCACGAAGGUUGGCUAAUCCUGGUCGGACAUCAGGAGGUUAGUGCAAUGGCAUAAGCCAGCUUGACUGCGAGCGUGACGGCGCGAGCAGGUGCGAAAGCAGGUCAUAGUGAUCCGGUGGUUCUGAAUGGAAGGGCCAUCGCUCAACGGAUAAAAGGUACUCCGGGGAUAACAGGCUGAUACCGCCCAAGAGUUCAUAUCGACGGCGGUGUUUGGCACCUCGAUGUCGGCUCAUCACAUCCUGGGGCUGAAGUAGGUCCCAAGGGUAUGGCUGUUCGCCAUUUAAAGUGGUACGCGAGCUGGGUUUAGAACGUCGUGAGACAGUUCGGUCCCUAUCUGCCGUGGGCGCUGGAGAACUGAGGGGGGCUGCUCCUAGUACGAGAGGACCGGAGUGGACGCAUCACUGGUGUUCGGGUUGUCAUGCCAAUGGCACUGCCCGGUAGCUAAAUGCGGAAGAGAUAAGUGCUGAAAGCAUCUAAGCACGAAACUUGCCCCGAGAUGAGUUCUCCCUGACUCCUUGA